rnacentral:rRNA from 1 species
UACGUAGGGGGCAAGCGUUGUCCGGAUUUAUUGGGCGUAAAGAGCGUGUAGGCGGCCACACAGGUCUGCUGUGAAAACUCGGGGCUCAACCUCGAGCUGUCGGUGGAAACCGUGUGGCUAGAGUCCGGAAGAGGAGAGUGGAAUUCCCGGUGUAGCGGUGAAAUGCGCAGAUAUCGGGAAGAACACCCGUGGCGAAAGCGGCUCUCUGGAACGGUACUGACGCUGAGACGCGAAAGCGUGGGGAGCGAACAGG